UGAGGAACAUGACCUUCGGCGGGGGAUAGCCGGCCCAACGGCCGGGUAAUACCGCGUACGACCACAUGGGGACAUCCCUGAGUGGUGAAAGCAGCAAUGCGCCGAUGGAGUGCCUCGCGGCCUAUCAGCUAGUUGGUGAGGUAACGGCUCACCAAGGCGACGACGGGUAGCUGGUCUGAGAGGAUGGCCAGCCACACUGGGACUGAGACACGGCCCAGACCUCUACGGGGAGG
rnacentral:rRNA from 1 species